UGACAGGCAUGUCUACCUUAUGGCUUUGU
rnacentral:piRNA from 1 species